rnacentral:lncRNA from 1 species
AGAAGCAAGGGAAGGCAAUGCAAAGGCCUGGGAACUGUUUUAGCAGCCAGCUGUAUCAAGAAUGCACUCCUUUUCUUCAGCAGACUUAGACCAGUUUCAGCUGACUGAAGCAAGACCCUUAGUUUCCUUGCUAGUGUUAUGCAAUCGUAUAGUUGAUCUUUCGCAGCAGCUAGAACAUGGCCCAUAUCCUUUGCUCUGUCAAGUGCACUGUAGAAAAACCUAAUGUUAAAGACAAAACCUAACAUGUAAACUUCAUUAACGAAAAGUUGAAAGCACUGACCCUUAGUUUCCUUGCUAGUGUUGUGCAAUCGUAUAGUUGAUCUUUCGCAGCAGCUAGAACAUGGCCCAUAUCCUUUGCCCUGUCAAGUGCACU